rnacentral:rRNA from 1 species
GACGAACGCUGGCGGCGUGCUUAACACAUGCAAGUCGAACGGAAAGGCCCUGCUUUUGUGGGGUGCUCGAGUGGCGAACGGGUGAGUAACACGUGAGUAACCUGCCCUUGACUUUGGGAUACUUCAGGAAACUGGGGCUAAUACCGGAUAGGAGCUCCUGCUGCAUGGUGGGGGUUGGAAAGUUUCGGCGGUUGGGGAUGGACUCGCGGCUUAUCAGCUUGUUGGUGGGGUAGUGGCUUACCAAGGCUUUGACGGGUAGCCGGCCUGAGAGGGUGACCGGCCACAUUGGGACUGAGAUACGGCCCAGACUCCUACGGGAGGCAGCAGUGGGGAAUAUUGCACAAUGGGCGGAAGCCUGAUGCAGCAACGCCGCGUGCGGGAUGACGGCCUUCGGGUUGUAAACCGCUUUCGCCUGUGACGAAGCGCGAGUGACGGUAAUGGGUAAAGAAGCACCGGCUAACUACGUG